AACGAACGCUGGCGGCAUGCCUAACACAUGCAAGUCGAACGAGACCUUCGGGUCUAGUGGCGCACGGGUGCGUAACGCGUGGGAACCUGCCCUUAGGUUCGGAAUAACUCCCCGAAAGGGGUGCUAAUACCGGAUAAUGUCUUCGGACCAAAGAUUUAUCGCCUUUGGAUGGGCCCGCGUUGGAUUAGCUAGUUGGUAGGGUAAAAGCCUACCAAGGCGACGAUCCAUAGCUGGUCUGAGAGGAUGAUCAGCCACACUGGGACUGAGACACGGCCCAGACUCCUACGGGAGGAGGCAGUGGGGAAUAUUGGACAAGGGGCGAAAGCAUGAUCCAGCAAGGCCGCGUGAGUGAUGAAGGCCUUAGGGUUGUAAAGCUCUUUUACCCGGGAUGAUAAUGACAGUACCGGGAGAAUAAGCUCCGGCUAACUCCGUG
rnacentral:rRNA from 1 species